rnacentral:siRNA from 1 species
UGGAAGCUACAUGUUGAUGGAUU